rnacentral:rRNA from 1 species
GAUGAACGCUGGCGGCGUGCCUAAUACAUGCAAGUCGAGCGAACAGACGAGGAGCUUGCCCCUCUGACGUUAGCGGCGGACGGGUGAGUAACACGUGGAUAACCUACCUAUAAGACUGGGAUAACUUCGGGAAACCGGAGCUAAUACCGGAUAAUAUAUUGAACCGCAUGGUUCAAUAGUGAAAGACGGUUUUGCUGUCACUUAUAGAUGGAUCCGCGCCGCAUUAGCUAGUUGGUAAGGUAACGGCUUACCAAGGCAACGAUGCGUAGCCGACCUGAGAGGGUGAUCGGCCACACUGGAACUGAGACACGGUCCAGACUCCUACGGGAGGCAGCAGUAGGGAAUCUUCCGCAAUGGGCGAAAGCCUGACGGAGCAACGCCGCGUGAGUGAUGAAGGUCUUCGGAUCGUAAAACUCUGUUAUUAGGGAAGAACAAAUGUGUAAGUAACUAUGCACGUCUUGACGGUACCUAAUCAGAAAGCCACGGCUAACUGCGUG